GAAUUAAUCAGAGAACUAGUAGGAUGGAAAGAAAGGUUGCGAUCCAAAGAAGGGAAAGAGGUCAUGAUAAAAGCAGUAACAAAGUAAUUCCAGUAUAUGCCAUGUCAGCGUUUAUGCAAUCAAAUCAAUAGGAUUAAUGUAAAUUUUUGGUGGGGCCACAACCAAGAUUUGAGGAAAAUGCAUUGGACUUCAUGGCAUGAAAUGUGUGAGCCUAAGAGUAGAUGGGGGUUUUCGAGAUCUUGAGUGUUUUGACAGAGCUUUAUUAGCAAAACAAAGCUAGCGUAUCUUAGCUAACCCCAUAUCCCUUCUGACAAGGCUGUUAAAAGGAAAAUAUUUCCUGAACUCUUCUUUUUUGCAGGCUGCAGGCGCGCUAAGGUAGCAGAGCGUCAUGGGUUUGGCAAAGCAUCCUAUGGGAGCGUUCCAUUUUUCAGAAAGGAUCUCGUUGGCACGUUAACAAUGGAGCAUCUAUUUUGUGUAAAGAGGAUGUUUGGGUUCUAAUGCCUUCCU
rnacentral:misc_RNA from 1 species